AUAUAAUAAUCGUACUUUUAUUAUUUUUUUUUUAAUCGUAUCUCUCACUUUCUCUCUUUAUAUAUAUAUAUAUAUAUAUAUCUUUCUGUAUAUCUCACUCUCUCUUUCUUCGAUCGUCCUUUUUCUUUUACGAUUUUGUUUUGUUUUGUUUUUUUAUAUACAUAUAUGGAAGACGUUGAUGCUGUUUUGUUUUCUUCAGUUGUAAUUAUUAGUCAUAUUAGUGAAUGUAAAGUAAUUAAAAAGCGAUAUCUAUAUAUAUGUAUUUAUAUGUAGAAACAAGUUGUUGAGAGAGUGACAGAGAGAGAGAGAGAGAGAGAGAGAGAGAGAGAGAGAGAGAGAGAGAGAGAGAGUGAGAAAGAGACAGGAUUAUCUUUGUUUUCUUCUUCUUCUUCGUAUUCGUCAUAUUGGAAAUUACUGUGAGAAGAUAGACCAGCUAAAGGAUCAUCGAUUUUACGACUGGGUCAAUUCGUCUGAUGCAAGCGUCAGCUGGUGAACUUUAUGAAAGUUUUGAUCCAUCAUUCGUCUAAUGCAGUCGUUAUAUCGAGCUGCUGAACUUUAUGAAAGCUUUGGUGUCGGUGUUAGGGGUAGUUUCAAGGUCAGGAGGGUGGAGUGGAGGUCAUCGUGGCACCUAUGUUGUGCGGUGAACUCUUGAACGGUGGCUUCGUCAGUGCCGGAGCAUUACCGGCCCUUCCUAGUGGUCUUUUAGGGCUUUGGUUGCCUGGCUGUCUACGAGCUACCAGCCCUCGUCUCCAAACCUCCCCUUACCUACCCCUUCUUGCCGAACUCUUGGCUACGGGUCAGUUGGAUCUUCGUGAUUGCCUGAUGGACCUGGCAAAGAGAAAUCUUCAAACACGCGGCACCAAUGGUGUCGCAGACCUCGACCUCGAUCUUCAUGCCGACGAUAUCGAUGAGAAUGUCUUCCUUGAAAAUGGAUUGCUUUCCUUCGAGAAUCCGAAUUAUCAUUUGGAUCCGGCACGUUUGGAUGAUGCAUUGAACAGCAACGGAAAUGGCAGCUCCCUCUAUGACGAAUUGUAUCAAGAAUUAGUUGGCAAUGGCGGCAGGGGUGGAGAAGUCACUGGUGGCGGCGGUGGUGGUGGUGGAGGUGGUGGUGGUGGUGGUGGUGGCGGUGGCGGUGGCGGAGGAGGGGGUGGUACGAGAGUUCAAGCACGCAGGACUUAUGCGAGCUUGGAUCUGGGCAGCAUGGGGGUUGACGUCACCCAGGGUCCCCUCACCCUGGAUUCCGUGACCGAGGACGCAGCUGACAAUACGGACAACCAUAACCUAGGGUACAGCAGCGAGGGUGUGACGGAGUCAGCUUUGGUCGACGACACCCUCAACGGGAAUCCUCGACCAUCGUCCCCGUCGUCCUCGCCGCCUUCCACGUCUACGUCAUCAUCGAUCCUACCACCUAGAUCUUCUUUGCUCCAGCAAACAGGAUCUACCGUCAACGCUGCGGAUAAAUCCGCUACGAGAAUUUAUUGCGAGAAAGCCGAUAACGAAACAACAGAGAUGGGUGGUGUACCACAUGUCGAGGGUGGCUUGAACAGCGAGCUCUACGCUGUACCUGUUAAACGGAGACAGCCAAAGGAUCAAAAAAACAAUUCCGCAUUGCAGAAUAAUGUUCAAGACAAGGCACCGAACGAAGUUGACACGAACGAUUCCGAGGACAAGGAUGAAAACUUGCCACCCGGUUGGCAAAAGCACGAAGACGAAAACGGUCCUUACUACUGGCACGUUAAAAGUGGAAACAUUCAAAGGGAACCGCCUGAAGCACCGUUGCAUAACAAAACUGAGAAUCGUAGAAGCUUGGUCAAGGACAACGACAGCAUAAAUAAUUUUCAUGGUCUUGGUGGUAUGGUUAACACCGUAACACGUAGCAACACAAGCUCGGCUCUUGAUCAGGAAUUGGAGAACAAAAGGAAGGUCGAACUAGCACUUAAACGAAGAAGCUAUCCAGCCAGAGCUGAUUCUGAAGGUAGGGACAAGCCGAUUAGAUUCGCUGUACGAUCGUUAGGCUGGACUGAAAUCGCUGAAGAAGAUCUAACACCUGAAAGAUCUAGCAAAGCGGUUAACAAAUGCAUCGUUGAUCUAUCACUCGGUAGAAACGAUCUACUCGACGUCGUUGGACGAUGGGGUGAUGGAAAGGAUUUGUUCAUGGACCUAGACGAGGGAGCCCUAAAACUAAUAGAUCCAGAGAAUCUGACGGUACUGAACACUCAGCCAAUUCAUACAGUCAGAGUUUGGGGUGUUGGAAGAGAUCACUGCCGGGACUUUGCUUAUGUAGCAAGAGACAGGUCAACUCGAAAGCACAUGUGUCACGUGUUCCGUUGCGACAUCCCAGCACGUACGAUCGCAAAUACUCUUCGUGACAUAUGUAAGAAGAUCAUGAUCGAACGAUCGCAACAUCAGAAUCUAGCUAAGCCUGUUGAUAUCAAUGGUCGAACGAGCCUGGCGACGAGACCGACGAAUUUACCAACUGAACAUCGACGUUUUCACAGAA